rnacentral:rRNA from 1 species
UACGGAGGGUGCAAGCGUUAUCCGGAUUCACUGGGUUUAAAGGGUGCGUAGGUGGGCAGGUAAGUCAGUGGUGAAAUCUCCGGGCUUAACUCGGAAACUGCCAUUGAUACUAUCUGUCUUGAAUACCGUGGAGGUCAGCGGAAUAUGUCAUGUAGCGGUGAAAUGCUUAGAUAUGACAUAGAACACCAAUUGCGAAGGCAGCUUACUACACAGUUAUUGACACUGAGGCACGAAAGCGUGGGGAUCAAACAGG